rnacentral:rRNA from 1 species
GGGACAACAGCCAGAAAUGGCUGCUAAUACCGCAUAAGCCUGCUGUGCCGCAUGGCACAGCAGGGAAAACCACGGUGGUACAGGAUGGGCCCGCGUCUGAUUAGUUAGUUGGCAGGGUAACGGCCUACCAAGACGAUGAUCAGUAGCCGGCUUGAGAGAGUGGACGGCCACAUUGGGACUGAGACACGGCCCAGACUCCUGCGGGAGGCAGCAGUGGGGAAUAUUGCACAAUGGGGGGAACCCUGAUGCAGCAAUGCCGCGUGGGUGAAGAAGCACUCCGGUGCGUAAAGCCCUGUCAGCAGGGAAGAAAAUGACAGUACCUGACCAAGAAGCCCCGGCUAACUACGUGCCAGCAGCCGCGGUAAUACGUAGGGGGCAAGCGUUAUCCGGAUUUACUGGGUGUAAAGGGAGCGCAGGCGGUAUGGCAAGUCAGAUGUGAAAACCCAGGGCUCAACCCUGGGACUGCAUUUGAAACUGCCAUACUGGAGUGCCGGAGAGGUAAGUGGAAUUCCUAGUGUAGCGGUGAAAUGCGUAGAUAUUAGGAGGAACACCAGUGGCGAAGGCGGCUUACUGGACGGUAACUGACGCUGAGGCUCGAAAGCGUGGGGAGCAAACAGGAUUAGAUACCCUGGUAGUCCACGCUGUAAACGAUGAAUACUAGGUGUCGG